AUUUAUCCUUUCCUAGUCACUACUCCUCUUUUGGAGUAAGAAACAAUAAUUUAGGUGGGAUCCUAGCAUGUGAACCCAUUAAUAAAACUACAAUAAUGAAGAUAAAAUAAUACAUGCAUGGGUAUCGAUUCAGAACAACAAUAGUACUUCCCCUGCUUCGUCAAUCUGCUAGGGUUUCCAUAACCAUACCUAUGGGUUUUAGCCUCUUAUGUUUUUGAAGAAAUCAAUAACAUUCAUAUAUGAAAACCUAGAUAAAAUCACAAUGAUAAGAAGUGUAAAAAUCCACAACUAUAACUGAAUUAAUCAACUGAAGUCAAUACAAGAGAAUCCCAAGAUCAAAAUUGAAUCUUGGAAUCAAAAUAUGUUUGUGAAUAUGAAAAGUGUAUAACUCCUACUAAAAUCACAUAAAGGGUAUUUAUAGUAUAAGAGGAAACCCUAAAACCAAAUCCCAAAUAUAAAGGGAGAAAAUCAGGUCAGUGGCCAUAUGUGGCCUAUACAUGCACCCUAGCCUAGAGCGCAGGUUGUACCUGUGGCCCUGACACUAGGUGUAGGUACAAGGUGUAUGUUGUGGAUGAAAAAAUCCUACAACCCAUCUUCUUGGGAUUUUGGACUUCUGGAACUUGCUCUACCUACCUGUGUUUUGUAGGUCCUACUUGCGGUCCACAUGCUGACAUAGUAAGUGCUGGGAGUCAUUUUUUCAACUCUUCUUUAAUUCCCUAUCAUGCUUUGAUCACAAACAAGUCAGAAAGUAUAUCGAACAUCCAUAAUUUCUCCAAAAAGUAGCCAAAAACACCUUUUCCUUUCUUUUUCAAGAACUUAUCAUCCAAAUGAUUUCCUGCAAAACAUAUCCAAAUCUCAUUAUAUCUAGUGAAAUGACCUUAGAAACUUGCAUAUUUUUCUCGUUUAAGCAUCAAAGGUUCUAUAUUUCUAUAGCACACCAGGAGCUUAGGAGUGCGACCUACAUUUAUUUAUCGAGGCAAAUGUCAGGCCUUGAUGUGUAGGAGGGCGCAAUGAUCACUGCAAAACCUUGGGUCCAAGCUCGAACAGAGUGAUCGUCGGUGCAGAUCUUGGUGGUAGUAGCCAAUAUUCAAAAGAGAACUUUGAAGUUCAAAGAGGGGAAAGGUUACAUAUGAAUGACACUUGUAUAUGGGUUAGUCGAUCCUAAGGGUCAGGAGAACCCCGACAGAUGGCGCAUUUUGUGUGUACUCCAAAAACAAAUCUAGGUAACAUACCUAAAUAAACGCGUGGAAGUUGACGUAAACGUUAGAAAGUAAGAAGACAUCAUCGAGAGCAUUGGGAAAAGUUAUUUUUUCUAUUUAAUAGACAACCCUUCAUGGGGUCGGAUCAGCUGGAGGUAGGGUCCAGUGGUUGGAAGAGCAUCUAAUGUUACACGUGUCUGGUAUGCUCCCGAUGGCCCUUGAAAAUUUGGAUGACCUAAUGUCUUCCAUGCUCUGUCAUACUUAUAAAUACAUCAGGUCUCCAAGGUGAACAACGUCUGGUCGAUGGAACAAUAUAAGUAAAUGAACUCAAAAAGUAGGAUCCAUAACUUUGGGAAAAUGAUUGGCUUUGAGGGAUAGAAAUGGGGAUCCCAGUCCCGAACCUAUUGUCUGCCGGUGGACUGCUUGAGCUGCUCCCAUGGUGGGAGCAGGUCACUGCAUGUCAAUCGGGGGAUGAACUAGAAAUAGUUCCUUCAAGGUCCUUCCCCGCGCGUUGAAAAAACAACUAAGAACUGGUACAGACAAAGGGAAUUUUAUUGUUUAAUUAAAACAAAGCAUUGCAAUCAUCCCAAUGGACGUUCAUACAAUGUGAUUUCUGCCCAGUGCUCUAAAUGUUAAGGUGAAGAAAUCUAACCAAGCACAGGUAAAUGGUGAGAGUAACUAUGAAUCUUUUAAGGUAGCUAAAUGCCUCAUUAUCUAAUUAGUGAUGUACAUGAAUGGACUAACAAGAUUCUCACUGUCCCUAUCUAUAUCCAGCGAAACCACAACCAAGGGAAUGGCAGAAUUAGCUGGGAAAGAAGACCCUAAUGAGCUUGACUAUGGUCCAACUUUGUGAAAUGACUUGAGAGGUGUAGUAUAAGUUGGGGAUGAAAGGAAAAAGUUAAAUACCACUACUUUUAACAUUAUUUUACUUACUUUUUGAAUUAGAUACAGGGUACUGCCCCUCUUUUUGGAUACAAGGCUUGCUCUAUGAACCAAUCUGGGUGGAAGACAUUGUCAGGUGGGGAGUUUAGCUGGAGUGUUACAUCUGUUAAAAGAUAAUAUAGGUGUCCUAAGAUGAGAUCAGUGAGAACAGAAAUCUCGUACAGAAUAGUAGAGUAAAAACUUAUUCGAUUCUGAUUUACGAACUAUGAAAGUGUGUCGUAAUAAUCCUUUAGACAUUCAUAAUUCGAAGCUAAAGGUGUCAGAAAUGUUACCACAAGGAUAAAUGGCUUAUGGCAGCCAAGAAUUCAUAGUGACAUUUUUUUAUCCUUUGAUGUCCGCUCUUCGUAUCAUUGUGAAGCAGAAUUCUCUAAGUGUUUGAUUGUUCACCCACUAAUAGGGAACGUGAACUGUGUUUAGACCGUCAUAAGAUAGGUUUGUUUUACCAUAUUGUUGAUAGUGUUGCAAUAGUAAUUCAACCUAAAAUGAAGGGAACCACUAAUUCACACAAUUGUUCAUCGCGAUUGGUUGAAAAGUUAGUGGCUCGAAGCUACCUUGUGUUGGAUUAUGAUUGAAUGCCUCUAAGUCAGAAUCCAGGCUAGGAUCAAUGCAUGCACCCAUCGUCCACUUGCCGACUCGCAAUAGGUGCCUCUGCCCCCAAGCAAAUAUGUCAUUGGCUAAGAUAAAGUAGCGGACGGGUCGUGGUGGCCACCUUGAAGUACAAUUUCAAUCGAGUAGUGGGUAGAAUCCUUUCAAAUGACUUAAAAAUAUUACA
rnacentral:rRNA from 1 species